ensembl:snRNA U6 U6 spliceosomal RNA
GUGCUAGCUUUGGCAGCAUGUACACUAAAAUUGGAAUGAUACAGAGAUGAUUAGCAUGGCCCAGCACAACAAGGACAUGCAAAUUCAUGAUUCGUUCUAUAUUUUA